GGAGCGGAAGUGGAGCCGCCGCCACUGCAGCCGCCGCCGCCGCCGCCGCUGCCAGAGGAGUGGGCUUGGGAAGGAAGCGGUCACCGCGCUCGGAGCCCCGCUCACAGCGUCUUUGCCCCCUUCAGUCCUCCCACGGGAAUGACCAUGGAUAAAAGUGAACUGGUACAGAAAGCCAAACUUGCCGAGCAGGCUGAGCGCUAUGAUGACAUGGCUGCGGCCAUGAAGGCGGUCACGGAGCAGGGGCCCGAGCUCUCCAACGAAGAGAGGAACCUGCUCUCCGUCGCCUGCAAGAACGUGGUCGGCGCCCGCCCUUCUUCCUGGCGUGUCAUCUCCAGCACUGAGCAGAAGACGGAGAGGAACGAGAAGCAGCAGCAGAUGGGCAAAGAGGACCGGGAGAAGAUCGAGGCUGAGCUGCAGGACAUCUGCAAUGAUGUUCUGGAGCUGUUGGACAAAUACCUUAUUCCCAGUGCUACACAACCAGAAAGUAAGGUGUUCUACUUGAAAAUGAAAGGAGAUUAUUUUAGAUAUCUUUCUGAGGUGGUAUCUGGAGACAAUAAACAAACCACUGUGUCGAACUCUCAGCAGGCUUAUCAGGAAGCCUUUGAAAUUAGUAAGAAAGAAAUGCAGCCUACACACCCAAUUCGACUGGGCCUGGCACUUAAUUUCUCCGUCUUUUACUAUGAGAUUCUAAACUCUCCUGAAAAGGCUUGCAGCCUGGCAAAAACGGCAUUUGAUGAAGCAAUUGCGGAAUUGGAUACACUGAAUGAAGAGUCUUACAAAGACAGCACCUUGAUCAUGCAGUUGCUUAGGGACAAUCUCACUCUGUGGACGUCGGAAAACCAGGGAGACGAAGGAGAUGCUGGGGAGGGAGAGAACUAAUGUCUGUUGUGCUUCGUGAUCUAUUCAGUGUCACUCUGUACCCUCCAUAUAUAUCCCUUAGUGCGAUAAAAAAAAAAAAAAGAAUUGUAAAAAAAAAAAAAGAAAUA